UUGCCGGUGCAAGUCCGGUCCGGGUAGCUGCCAGGUGGCCCGGUAGCAGGCUGGCGGCUUCAUCUGGAAACGGAUGUGGUCGAAGCCCAGCGUCAGAAGCCCUGCAAGGGGGAGCGAAGAUGCGGUCCGCAGCAUGA
rnacentral:ncRNA from 1 species